rnacentral:pre_miRNA from 1 species
AACUGGAGGAGCUAUCGAUCAGCAGGUACAGUUACGUUUUAACAAUAAGAAUUGAAUUUUUUAUGAUUACUAUUUUUAUUACUAUUAGAUGAUAGAACAUGAAUAGUACUUUAUGUGUGACUAAUUUUUUAAAAAAAUUUCAUAAAGUUUUCAAAUAAGACGGACGGUCAAACGUUGGACACGAAUUUCCACGAUUACACUUAUU